UCCUCGUUAGUAUAGUGGUGAGUAUCCCCGCCUGUCACGCGGGAGACCGGGGUUCGAUUCGCCGACGGGGAG
rfam:Ciona savignyi cont_31636, whole genome shotgun sequence.